rnacentral:lncRNA from 10 species
UCCCAUUCCAGGUCGUCCAGUCUCCCAGUCAUCCGCCUGACCUGCUCCUGUCUGAACAUCCUACCGCGAGUCAAGGCAAAUGGGCUCAGCCGCUGUUCCACUCCACCCAGGCUUGGAGUGGACUCCCCGUGAGCCUGCAGAGGGGCAGGAUGCUGAGUAGCAGGCCAUGCGGGUGCGCCCGGGGUCUCACCCCAGCCCCAGGGAAGAGGCUGUUUCAUUCAGUGAACCAAGAGGGUACAAAGGUUCACCUUUCUCUGCAUCCUCACCAGCAUCUGUUAUUCCCUGCCCUUUUGAUAAAAGCCAUUUUAACGGAGGUAAGGUGAUCUCUCAUUGUGGGUUUGACUUGCAUUUUC